GACGAACGCUGGCGGCGUGCUUAACACAUGCAAGUCGAACGGAAAGGCCCUGCUUUUGUGGGGUGCUCGAGUGGCGAACGGGUGAGUAACACGUGAGUAACCUGCCCUUGACUUUGGGAUAACUUCAGGAAACUGGGGCUAAUACCGGAUAGGAGCUCCUGCUGCAUGGUGGGGGUUGGAAAGUUUCGGCGGUUGGGGAUGGACUCGCGGCUUAUCAGCUUGUUGGUGGGGUAGUGGCUUACCAAGGCUUUGACGGGUAGCCGGCCUGAGAGGGUGACCGGCCACAUUGGGACUGAGAUACGGCCCAGACUCCUACGGGAGGCAGCAGUGGGGAAUAUUGCACAAUGGGCGGAAGCCUGAUGCAGCAACGCCGCGUGCGGGAUGACGGCCUUCGGGUUGUAAACCGCUUUCGCCUGUGACGAAGCGUGAGUGACGGUAAUGGGUAAAGAAGCACCGGCUAACUACGUGCCAGCAACCGCGGUGAUACGUAGGGUGCGAGCGUUGUCCGGAUUUAUUGGGCGUAAAGGGCUUGUAGGUGGUUGAUCGCGUCGGAAGUGUAAUCUUGGGGCUUAACCCUGAGCGUGCUUUCGAUACGGGUUGACUUGAGGAAGGUAGGGGAGAAUGGAAUUCCUGGUGGAGCGGUGGAAUGCGCAGAUAUCAGGAGGAACACCAGUGGCGAAGGCGGUUCUCUGGGCCUUUCCUGACGCUGAGGAGCGAAAGCGUGGGGAGCGAACAGGCUUAGAUACCCUGGUAGCCCACGCUGUAAACGGUGGGUACUAGGUGUGGGGUCCAUUCCACGGGUUCCGUGCCGUAGCUAACGCUUUAAGUACCCCGCCUGGGGAGUACGGCCGCAAGGCUAAAACUCAAAGGAAUUGACGGGGCCCCGCACAAGCGGCGGAGCAUGCGGAUUAAUUCGAUGCAACGCGUAGAACCUUACCUGGGUUUGACAUGGAUCGGGAGUGCUCAGAGAUGGGUGUGCCUCUUUUGGGGUCGGUUCACAGGUGGUGCAUGCCUGUCGUCAGCUCGUGUCGUGAGAUGUUGGGUUAAGUCCCGCAACGAGCGCAACCCUUGUUCACUGUUGCCAGCACGUUAUGGUGGGGACUCAGUGGAGACCGCCGGGGUCAACUCGGAGGAAGGUGGGGAUGACGUCAAGUCAUCAUGCCCCUUAUGUCCAGGGCUUCACGCAUGCUACAAUGGCUGGUACAGAGAGUGGCGAGCCUGUGAGGGUGAGCGAAUCUCGGAAAGCCGGUCUCAGUUCGGAUUGGGGUCUGCAACUCGACCUCAUGAAGUCGGAGUCGCUAGUAAUCGCAGAUCAGCAACGCUGCGGUGAAUACGUUCCCGGG
rnacentral:rRNA from 1 species